AGGUAUUGAAAUAAGGCUUUAAUGGGUGCUAAGAGAAUGGUUUAACAAUUAUUAGCUUUCUUUAAUUAAUAAAUUGAAUUUAAUUUUUUUGUGAAGAAGCGAAAAUGAAAAUUAGGGACAAGAAGACCCUAUGAAUUUUAUAUUUUCCUUAAAAGAAAUUUUUUAAGGAAAAUAUUAGUUGGGGUGACUAAUAAAGAAUGUGUAUCUUUUUAAAAUUUUAAUUUGAUCCGUUUUUAGCGAUUAAAUGAGAAAAAUACUCUAGGGAUAACAGCGUAAUAAUUUUGGAUAGUUCAUAUAGAUAAAAUAGUUUGCGACCUCGAUGUUGGAUUAGGAUUCUUAUUUAGUGAAGAAGCUAAAAAGAAGAAGUUUGUUCAACUUUUAAAUUCCUACUUGAUC
rnacentral:rRNA from 1 species